GAUCAUGGGCUCAGGACGAACGCUGGCGGCGCGCCUAACACAUGCAAGUCGAACGAGAGAGAGGAAGCUUGCUUCCUCAAUCGAGUGGCGAACGGGUGAGUAACGCGUGAGGAACCUGCCUCAAAGAGGGGGACAACAGUUGGAAACGACUGCUAAUACCGCAUAAGCCCACGGGUCGGCAUCGACCAGAGGGAAAAGGAGCAAUCCGCUUUGAGAUGGCCUCGCGUCCGAUUAG
rnacentral:rRNA from 1 species